rnacentral:rRNA from 1 species
AUGCCCAUGUCAUGGUUUUCCUCCUCUCACUGCACCGCCACCUUGACCCAGUGCCAUCUAGUAGACAAUCUGGUACAAGUGCUUCGACUUCCACUUCUGAAAAAACUUGCGCUUGUGUUGGUUCAUCUGUCAGGGGCCUCACCACACAACAUCAUCCACUCCAGCUGCCCUGCACUGGAGCGUUUGGUGCUUGUUUUUGGAGCAGGAAUCGAUAUUCGUUGUCUCAAAAUUAAGUCGCCUCACCUUGUAAGCAUUAGAAUUAGUUUUGAGGACAGGAGCUCAUCAUUGAAGAUGCCCCUUCACUUCAAAGGUUGGUCCUUGAUUGUUGUUAUAAACCUAAGCAAAUAA